GCGGUGUAGGUGGAAGCAGCGGUGGAGGAGGAGGAGGUAGCCAACACUGUUUUUUAUAUAUAUAUAUAUAUUUUUUUUAAUUGGGUUAGCCCCCAAAAUAUUGGGACAUAUAAAAAAAGACAACUCUGUUCCGCAGAGUAGCUGUUGUCAUUAUAGUUGCGCAUAUAUUCGUUGACUCUAGAGAACCUCGGGCCAAUCGCACAUCCCCGUGACGGCGACUUUGCAUUCGGAUGUCAUCCAUAUCAACUUUCGAUGCCAGUUUCUGCGCCUACCAUGGUGACCAUGGGUAACGGGGAAUCAGGGUUCUAUUCCGUACAGGGACCCUGAGAAACGGCUACCACAUGCAAGGAGGGCAGCAGGCG